GGAUGAAGUUGGUUCGAGACCACGUGGCCCUAUGAUCAUUAUUGGGUGGGACUAUUGCGGUCCCCCGCGAGAGUCCAGCGUCGGCCACCCCGGUGGGGGAUGCGGCGUGAGCUAACGCGCGAGGUCGCUCGUCUCGCUCGUGCCGCGUUUUGUAAGCGCGGCUCGCAGACGGCCCGACGCGACGCGACGAGCUGCGUCGUGCGUCCUGAUGCUGUCACGAGAACUAGGUGUAUGAAAAGAACUAGAUGCAUCUUUAUCGAGAACGAUCUGCACUAUCUGUGUUUGGAAAAGACUCCCGUGGGAACAAAGAAUUUUAUAUGAAGAAGGAUACAAGAAAAGAAAAGAUACAAGGAAAAUAGACGGGGUUUCUUUUAUGUUCCGCCUCAUUAAUCUAAAAGAAAAGGACACAAAUUUUUUUUAUUAAUGCUUCACUUUAUGCGGACUUAUAUUCUAUUAUAAUAACUAUGAACUGCAUUACUUGAAAAGGACCCAAAGUGAGGGUUGAAACAUUGUAAGAAGAUCAAUAAAUUGCCAGUUGGUCGACACAUA